rnacentral:rRNA from 1 species
GGGGAAUUUUCCGCAAUGGGCGAAAGCCUGACGGAGCAAUACCGCGUGAGGGAGGAAGGCUCUUGGGUCGUAAACCUCUUUUCUCAGGGAAGAACACAAUGACGGUACCUGAGGAAUAAGCAUCGGCUAACUCCGUGCCAGCAGCCGCGGUAAUACGGAGGAUGCAAGCGUUAUCCGGAAUGAUUGGGCGUAAAGCGUCCGCAGGUGGCUGUGUAAGUCUGCUGUUAAAGAGUCUAGCUCAACUAGAUAAGAGCAGUGGAAACUACACGGCUAGAGUACGUUCGGGGCAGAGGGAAUUCCUGGUGUAGCGGUGAAAUGCGUAGAGAUCAGGAAGAACACCAGUGGCGAAGGCGCUCUGCUAGGCCGUAACUGACACUGAGGGACGAAAGCUAGGGGAGCGAAUGGGAUUAGAUACCCCAG